rnacentral:rRNA from 1 species
UACGUAGGGCGCAAGCGUUGUCCGGAAUUAUUGGGCGUAAAGAGCUCGUAGGCGGCUUGUCACGUCGGAUGUGAAAGCCCGGGGCUUAACCCCGGGUCUGCAUUCGAUACGGGCUAGCUAGAGUGUGGUAGGGGAGAUCGGAAUUCCUGGUGUAGCGGUGAAAUGCGCAGAUAUCAGGAGGAACACCGGUGGCGAAGGCGGAUCUCUGGGCCAGUAUUGACGCUGAGGAGCGAAAGCGUGGGUAGCAAACAGG